UACGAAGGGGACUAGCGUUGUUCGGAAUUAUUGGGCGUAAAGGGCGCGUAGGCGGCUAGAUGUGUCAAAGGUGAAAUCCCUCGGCUCAACUGAGGAACUGCCUUUGAAACUGUCUGGCUUGAGGCCGGGAGAGGGUAGCGGAAUUCCCAGUGUAGCGGUGAAAUGCGUAGAUAUUGGGAGGAACACCAGUGGCGAAGGCGGCUACCUGGACCGGUUCUGGCGCUGAGGCGCGAAAGCGUGGGUAGCAAACAGG
rnacentral:rRNA from 1 species